rnacentral:rRNA from 1 species
UACGUAGGGCGCAAGCGUUAUCCGGAAUUAUUGGGCGUAAAGAGCUCGUAGGCGGUCUGUCGCGUCGAUCGUGAAAACUUGGGGCUUAACCCUGAGCUUGCGGUCGAUACGGGCAUGACUGGAGUUCGGCAGGGGAGACUGGAAUUCCUGGUGUAGCGGUGAAAUGCGCAGAUAUCAGGAGGAACACCGGUGGCGAAGGCGGGUCUCUGGGCCGAUACUGACGCUGAGGAGCGAAAGCGUGGGGAGCGAACAGG